UACGAAGGGGCUAGCGUUGCUCGGAAUGACUGGGCGUAAAGGGCGCGUAGGCGGAUGGCACAGUCAGAUGUGAAAUUCCCGGGCUUAACCUGGGGGCUGCAUUUGAUACGUGUUGUCUUGAGUUCGGAAGAGGGUCGUGGAAUUCCCAGUGUAGAGGUGAAAUUCGUAGAUAUUGGGAAGAACACCGGUGGCGAAGGCGGCGACCUGGUCCGACACUGACGCUGAGGCGCGAAAGCGUGGGGAGCAAACAGG
rnacentral:rRNA from 1 species